rnacentral:rRNA from 1 species
CACGUAGGGUGCGAGCGUUGUCCGGAAUUAUUGGGCGUAAAGAGCUCGUAGGCGGUGUGUCGCGUCGGCCGUGAAAACCUGCAGCUUAACUGUGGGCGUGCGGUCGAUACGGGCAUCACUGGAGUUCGGCAGGGGAGACUGGAAUUCCUGGUGUAGCGGUGAAAUGCGCAGAUAUCAGGAGGAACACCGGUGGCGAAGGCGGGUCUCUGGGCAGUAACUGACGCUGAGAAGCGAAAGCGUGGGUAGCGAACAGG